rnacentral:lncRNA from 1 species
UCCGGUGGAAUCGCGGAUGUCGGAAACCUCUAGAAGGGUAAAAUCAUGUUUUUAUAAAAUGUUUUCAUGUAUUCUAAUGUUUUAAGUAUGAAAUAAAAUGAGUUUUUGCAUGAAAAAGUCCUUGGAGGAAAACUCAGGUUCGGCCGCCGAAAGUCAAGUUCGGCCGCCGAACAUGAAUGGGUUUUGGAGGCACGUUAGGCCCCCGAAAGCAUGAACGACGGAAGUCCAGGUUCGGCCGCCGAACUUAACCUUCGGCCGCCGAACAUAGCAUGCAUGCGGAGGCACAUUCGGCCCCCGAACGUGGCCUGGCCAGCCACCUAUAAAAGGGUCC